CUGAACCAACCAAGUAGCGUGAAGGAUGACUGCCCUAUGGGUUGUAAACUUCUUUUAUAAAGGAAUAAAGUCGGGUAUGCAUACCCGUUUGCAUGUACUUUAUGAAUAAGGAUCGGCUAACUCCGUGCCAGCAGCCGCGGUAAUACGGAGGAUCCGAGCGUUAUCCGGAUUUAUUGGGUUUAAAGGGAGCGUAGAUGGAUGUUUAAGUCAGUUGUGAAAGUUUGCGG
rnacentral:rRNA from 1 species